rnacentral:tRNA from 1 species
GGUUGUAGCUUAGUGGUAGAGUGUGCGCUUUGCACGUGUGAGGCACUGGGUUCAAUCCUCAGCACCA